rnacentral:lncRNA from 1 species
GGGGUUUUAGGCUGGGUUUCUGUACAGCACUUUGAGAUAUCAGCUGAUGUACGAAGGGCUAUAUAAAAAUAAAUUUGAUUUGAUUUGAUCCAUAAAGUUCCCCGCGGCGCCGGAAUCCACUAAAGCUGUAGACAGGGCAUGAGGGACAGUCAGCCAGAGUGAUGGGUACGACAAAGAGUCUAACAGGAAGAGCAGUAGAUGGAAUACUCACUCCUUGUCCAGGGGAUGUAACAUCACGUACCGUCUCUCAUCUCUAGUGGAUCCCGGAUUCUGAAGUAACGGACACCGCUAGCUUUUUUGCCCUCCCUGGCCAUAGUACAGACAGAGCCCCAGCUGUAUCCAUCUGCGUCGUUCCGCCGUGGGGAGGUGUGUGACCCGUACCUCCAUGGGUUCAGGCUCUGAUCCCGAACACUUGCCGAAGGAGGGAGAGAAGCGAUGAAGAUGCCGAAUCUCCCGGAGGAGGAUAUUCAGAUGGAUGGCCAUCGCAAUGAGUGCGUCCAGGGCCUCCUCACGCAGAGGACCUCCACACGCAGACCUCUUCUAAAUAACAUGCUGAGCGCCGGCUUAUUCCAUCCACUGGAAGCUGCUACUGUCAGGAAGAUAGUGUCUGGGACGCACAACAAAACUCCGCUAUUCGGAUAUAACGAUGGAUUAUUUUGGACCAAACCAACAUUUGUUAUUGAAGUAGCAGUCCUGGGAGUGCAUUCUGACGAAGACAACAAAAGUCCAACAGCUUUCCCAAUGCCUCCUGCACCUUCUGGACCACAAACGGAAUAUUCCUUCCUCUUUUCCAGAGCACCCCAUCAGCAAACAGGGAGAGGCCAAAACCAGGCCCGACAUCCUGGAACAUGUUAUUCAUCAUUAUAUUAAACAAAAUUGGAC